CCCGCUCUGCUCCCAGGUGGCCUGCAGCCCUGGGACACCCGGCAGCCCCAGGCCCAAACACCGGGCCCUCCCCGAAGCAGGGACGAAUGAGCCCUGACCCAGCCGCCCAGCCGAGCCCCCCGCGCCCCCGUGGGGGUGUGAAGGGACCCAGGAGCCCCGGGCCCCAGAGGCAGUCGUCUGGAGACCAUGAACCGUUGGUGCCGGUGAUAAGGGCCCCUCCCUCCUGCCAGGGCUUCUGAAAGGCAGGGGAGCGCCCUGAGCGUGGGGGGGCAGCAGGCGGGGGCUGCACUCACACCCCAAGACAACCUUCCCACUUCGGAGACAAAGGAAAACAGAUGUCGGGAGGAGGGCCCCAGAGUCCCAAACUCCAUCGCGCUCCUUGUCCACGGACGCCCCCGGCCUGCACACCCAGGGUGACUCUUCCGGAAGCUUCCACCCGGGGCCUAUGUCCUGUGCCUUGUGCCCCCACUGCCUGGCGAGCGAGCGUCCUUGGCAUGUGUUUGCCCCACAGAAACGGGGUUACCUCCCUCGGUGUGUGGGGUCCCCGGGCCGGGUACCCAGCGCACAGUAGGGUCUGCGAUCCUCCAAAGCCGGGGAGCCCCUGGAUGUGGGAAGAAGUUCCGACCCAAAGGGAGACCAGGCCUCCCACAAUCUAAAGGCUUGGUCCAGACUCCGCUUUACAGAUGAGCAAACUGAGACUCGGGGAGGAGAAAGCAAGUCAGAGGCUCAGGGCGGCCCCCGUGUGGGCCUCUGACCCUGAAACCGAGCGGGCUUCCAUCGCCCUGCCAGCAAAACGGGUGCAAACCGCGUCCUCCGGGCGCAGAUGCCCGCUCUCAACGGCCAGGACCGGGACCGGCCCUAGGAACUGAGACACGACCCGGCCGGCGCGGCGGCGCGGGCGGCCACGCAAACCUGACAAUAAAACCCGAAAGCCCA